rnacentral:rRNA from 1 species
GCGCAGCAGUCGCGAAAACCUCCGCAAUACACGAAAGUGUGACGGGGCCAUCCCGAGUGCCGUCCGCUGAGGACGGCUUUUCCCCAGUGUACACAGCUGGGGGAAAUAAGGAGAGGGCAAGCCUGGUGUCAGCCGCCGCGGUAAUACCAGCUCUCCGAGUGGUGGGGACGCUUAUUGGGCCUAAAACAUCCGUAGCCGGCUGGGCAAGUCCUCCGUUAAAAUCCAACGAUUCAAUCGUUGGGCUGCGGGGGAUACUGUCCAGCUUGGGGGCGGGAGGAGGCCGACGGUAUUCCCGGGGUAGGGGUGAAAUCCUAUAAUCCCGGGAGGACCACCAGUGGCGAAGGCUGUCGGCUAGAACGCGCCCGACGGUGA